GAUGGGAGUGAGACCCUGUCUAAAAAAAAAAAAAAAAUCAGAUGUUAUAAUAAUUUUAGUCAUAAUUAUUUCUGGAAAUGGAAAACAUCAAAUACAGUACCAACCCAUGAAUUCUGAUGUCUCACUUUUAGAAUUUCUCUAUUCUUUGCUUUCAAUUUGCACAAAAACCAGAAUAAAAUUUAUCUUUGUAUGUCUGUGACGAAAAGAUUAUUUGCUGGAGCAACUGGACAGGACAAACCAUUUAAGAGAAUGUGCUUUUUAGCAUUUAAGGACUUAUAUGUUAAUGAAGUAAUUCACUGUUAAAAGUUUGCCCAACUUCCUGAGGUUUUGAAUGAUGAUAGCUUAAAUGGAGAUCAAAAGUAAGAUAUGGAACCAAGAGAAAUGAAGGAGGUGAAAUCAGCAGGCUGUGGUGAUUGGCUAGAAGUUGGAGUAAGGAAGAGGGUAGUGUACAGAUAUUGUAUGGUGCUCAUCGUCUCUUGGCAGGAAAGGUGCUCAUCCUUUAUAAAACCAAAGGAUUGUUGUGGAGAACAGCUGCUAGGUCUCCACACAAAAUCCAACCGUUAUUAAUCUCAGCCAUUCUGAUCAUUCCAUGGGAAGCCCCUGCCCACGACUUGUUUAGGAAUGGGCAUGUGACACAAUCCUGGCAAAAGACUAUUAAGUAGAAACUUUCCUUUCUGUGUGUGUUGCCUGGAACCAGGCAGCCAUCUUGGGACUACAGUGGAGUUCCAUGAAGAGAUCAGGAAGAGAUCAAGCCAAGGGCUGAGGGCGGUCAAGUGGGAAGACAGAGGGACUUGGGUCCUUAGAUUGUGUGGUUGAACCACCACAUUUGCCAAUCCUGAAACCCCCACAUGUGGGGACUUGUUUUUAUAGGAAGUGGGACAUUUUCUAGUGGUUUAAGUCAUUUUGAGUUGGGUUUUCUGUUACUUGCAGCUAAAUGCACUCUGAGACAGGGACAUUCUAGAAGAAGCUCCAGUUUUCUGGCUUUAUGAGUGGAUCCAUUUUCUAUAACAGCACAUUCAGAAGGAGAAGGCAACAGGCCUUGGGAAGUGGGGAGAAAGGAUGACCUUGGUUCAGGACAUGCUUAGCAGUGCUGGAGGGACACCAGGGCCCAUGGACAAACCACACAUGCCAGUGUCCCCACUGUUAGGGAGGGGUCAUAUUGAUGGACUCUGACCAAUAGCAUGUGAUGAAUUCUCUUCCUACACCUGUCAGCUGGGAGCUGAGAAUCCAGGGGGAAGCUUCUAAGGCUCCAGGAGGAUGAGCUUUUAGAUGGAAGGAACCUGAGUCCCUGAGUGACUUGGUGGAGAACCUCCACCCCCUAAUCAGCUACACUGGACGUGACAUGAUUGAAAAAUAAACAUUGGGCAUGUUGCUUUUA